rnacentral:SRP_RNA from 1 species
CAGUGGGAUAGGUCGGGGAACUAGAGGUACCUUGAACCGCAAAUCCUCUUUAGGCGGGACUGAAUGGCUGGAUGAGGUUCAGCCUUUGUCGCAAGGCCCGUACCAAAGCGUCGAAGCCCUGCCUUCAGAGAUGGACUCAUAUAUGAACCGGGCUAGGCCGAAAGGAGCAACCCUAAGUAUGUGCGCUCAUGCUUUGGAGUAACGGGGUGGAGCAGAGGAACGGCAAACCUUUUGGCAAAGAUUGAAUCGAAACCAGCAAUCCCACUG